rnacentral:rRNA from 1 species
GACGAACGCUGGCGGCGUGCUUAACACAUGCAAGUCGAACGGAAAGGCCUGCUUUCCCUUGUGGAUUGCGGGUACUCGAGUGGCGAACGGGUGAGUAACACGUGAGUGAUCUGCCCCCAACUUGGGUAUAAGCCUGGGAAACUGGGUCUAAUUCCCGAUAGGACUGCAGGGUGGUGCCUGUGGUGGAAAACGAUUUUCUAGUGGUUGGGGAUGAGCUCGCGGCCUAUCAGCUUGUUGGUGGGGUAAUGGCCUACCAAGGCGGCGACGGGUAGCCGGCCUGAGAGGGUGGACAGUCACAUUGAGACUGAGAUACGACCCAGACGCCUACGGGAGGCAGCAGUGGGGAAUAAUGCACAAUGGGCGGAAGGCUGAUGCAGCGACGCCGCGUGGAGGAUGACGGCCUUCGGGUUGUAAACUCCUUUCGACCGCGAGGAAGCCACCUGGUUGGAAGGGUGGUGACGGUAGUGGUAGAAGAAGCACCGGCUAACUACGUG